rnacentral:ribozyme from 12 species
AUGUUCAUUGUUUUGCUUUUGCUUUUGGUUUUUGUUUUUGUUUUGUUUCAAUUUUUUUAAAAGACAAAGUCGCUCUUGCUGUGUUGGGUAACUACUUUUUUUUCUUCUUAAACUAACAAAAACAAAACUCAAACGAACGAACUUCACACUAAACCUUUUUAAGAACAACAAAAAGAAACAACAAACAAAAGAAAAGGUUUUCUCCCCCUUCUUUGU